rnacentral:rRNA from 1 species
UACGAAGGGUGCAAGCGUUACUCGGAAUCACUGGGCGUAAAGGGAGCGUAGGCGGGUUCUUAAGUAAGGUGUUUAAUCCCGGGGCCCAACCCCGGACCGGCACUUUAAACUGGGAAUCUUGAAUAGUGGAGAGGUCGGUGGAAUUCCCGGUGGAGUGGUGAAAUGCGUAGAUAUCGGGAGGAACACCAGUGGCGAAGGCGGCCGACUGGGCUGUCCCUGACACUGGAGGUGCGAAAGCGUGGGGAGCGAACCGG